rnacentral:lncRNA from 1 species
GGGAACUGUGGGCAAGAAGAGAGGCGGGAAAGCCAGAGCCAUCCAAUGCUUGUCUUCUGGUGCCCUCCUCCAGGAAGCCAUUCCUGGUGCCCUGGGCGCUGCUCCCAGCCUUGCUCACCCUGGGUCAUCACCGUUUUUGGAGGGGUCUGUGUCCUCCCCAGACUAUAAGACCCAGAAAAGCAGGGCCUGGAGCUAAGUCACAGUCGUGUCCCCAGCAUCCACUGACACAGAAAAAGCCACAAAGAAACAUGGUAAGAGCGUGGCAGAUAACAUCCACGGUGCUAUCGGGAGGUGACAGGUGACUGACCUCAGCCUUGGUGUUCAAGAAGAUUCCAGAAGCACUGCAUCACCAGUGUCUGACACAAAGCCUGGGACAUGUGGGCUUCCAAGUGGACCUCUCCUGGAUAAAUGACCAUUAAUGAAACAGAGAAGGAGUUGAAGAGCCCCCAGAGGAGUGUGAGUCCCAGGGGUCCCGCCAGCUCCACUCCCACCUUCCAAACCUGUGAAAGUCAGGUGCCUGAGUCGCACAGUCUCUCCCACCCGAAUGCCAUGAGCUGCAGGUGAGUGAGCAGUUACUGCAUCCUGGGCCAUGGGCUUGGGUUGUGAAGUUAGGACCUGAUUAGAGGAUGUCAGGGGUUAGCAAUGUACCAAGGAAAGUGGAGAAAGUCAUAGCUCAAUGGGAUCCUGUGGAAUCACUGUGUGGCUGUGUGAGUGGGGGAGGGCGGUAACUAUAGGAGCAUGCUGCACCUUCCUGUUUGCCAAAGAGGGGGCAUGUAGGACACAGAAGCGGAGGGUGCACCACUUCUCCCUGGGUUCUCAAAGUGUCUGAGAUCAAAUCUACUAUGACACAUACCCUGCCUGGCUCCUUUACUGCCCAGCGACCCAGCCUGUCUCUGCAGGAGGGCCAGACAUGCCGUGACAUCACCAGCUCCUCUAGGAAUAUGGGAUACAAGGAGUGGCUGAGAUCGGCUGAUCACCAGCUCACUCCGCUGCAGCCGCCCCAGAGCAAUGGCUCCCCGAAGCCGUGUUCUGGCUGUCUUGGCCGCUUUCUGUUUGUGACUCUCCCUGCCUCCACUCCCCCCACCACCCCAUGAAAUGAUCUCAUUUGGUCAUUUAAACGGAAAACUAAAAAGUUUUAAGUGACUCUAGGAGAGCAGGAGAGAGGCAGGUCUCCCAGCUCAGACCCCGCCCCGGGACGGCCCCACGGAAGAUGCACAUCUGGAUGUAGGCGCUCAAGGCACCGCGCGUGCGCCGAGUGGCCUUGCUCAGCUCCGUCCUUCUGAAACCCGGAAUCCUCAUGUGUCUGGGUCCCGCCCCAUCCUGGCCUCCUACACCACUGGUCCAGAUCCUCCACCUUCCCCCAACGCGAGGUAUUGACAUCAAAGCAUCACCUCAUCUGGCACAAGAAUCUGAAACACAGACCGCACCUUACACCAACGUAGUGAAUCCCUCCUUGGACCUGAGUUCAACAAGCCCAGAGUCGGGGCUCUGGGUUCCCGCCCAAAUGCCACGCAUGCACACAGAUGGCACCUGGCGUCUCCUCAAAGGGACAGGAAUCCCGGGCUUCCCAGAAUCACCAGGUCGAUUUAAAUGGCAUCAGAUGAACUGGAAAAGAAUGAAAGUGCUAUUGCCUAAAGUGAUGAAAUUUUCAGAGGAUGUAUCGGUCCUGUCUGGUGGACAGACGGCCACCAGAGGGAAUGAACCAGUCUUCUCUGAACAUCCAUGAGGAUGAAGAACAGUCACUGAGGUGACGGUACCAAGUCACCGGCCACCUCCCAGGGAUCCUCUCAUCCGGUCCUCACAGCAGCGCUGCAUGGUCGGACCUCAUCACCCACAUUCCACCAAGAGGAAGCUGAAGCCCAGGGCCUUCAUCCACUCAUGUCCUCCAGACCCCUGGCACCCAUCCUGGGCCCCACCCCAUCAUCCAGGCCUUGGGCCUUCGACCUGGGGAGAGUCCCUGUCUCCUCCAUGAGCCGUCCAGGGCCUGAAGAGGUAUCCAAUAAACAAGAAAGCAGAACACAAAGAGCUGUGAUGGAGUGGAUCUUAUGUAGUAAGAAUAAAAUUAUUUUGAGAAAUUACUGGGUCAUGUAUUUACCCACAGAAAAACAGAAGCAAACACACGCGUGCGCGCACACACACACACACACACCACACAGGCUGUCACGUGUCCUCAGCACAAAGUGCCUUGAGAAAGGCCAUUGCUGGCCCCACACUUAUCCUGACUGUGAUCUUGCUGUGAUCAGCACAUCCCAUCAGUGUGGCAACAGGUGUGGCCAGAGUGGGAACCAGGCCUUUUCUUCAGAUUUGCUCUUUGUUCCUGAAUAGCCACCGUCAGAACAGACACCCUCCUAGGAGUCACUUGAUUAAAAAUUUCCUUUUGGAUAUUUAGGUUGAUGUUUUAUCCAUCGGUUAAAGUAUAAAUGUAUAUUUAUUAUAAAAGUGUAAUUAUGGCUCUAAUUAAUGAUUAUGGUGAAUUUUACUAACUAUAGCUAUGAAAAUAUUCCAAUAGAUAAAAACAGUGCUAAAAAUGUACAGUUAAUCCAAGAGUGGUAACUUUAAGUCUUGUAAUUUUUGAUCUAAUAAAUCUUCAUAAAAUAUACAUGAUCAUGAAGUACAUCAGUAGAAUUAAUCCUAAUAUUUACAGCAAUACUUGGCGUGCUGUCUCUCAUAAAAAAUAACAUUAAUAGUAAAAAA